rnacentral:piRNA from 2 species
UUCAAGUGCCAUCCUAAGCAUGAAC